rnacentral:misc_RNA from 1 species
UUUCUAUCAGGACUAUGAGUCUAUACAUACCCACCAUAUAUAAACACAUGUAUAUUGCCCUUUAUCUAUAUACGCGCUCGAUCGAUUUCUAGCUAUUUUCAGGCUUCCAUAUUAAAUUCCCUCUCUGUUCCAUCCACUAAAAACCCUCCUCUCUUUUCUUUCUCACAUACAAAGAUAUGGCUUCGACUUCCAGAAGGAAAACCAUCAGGGUCUCAAUAGCCAUAGCCGAUGCAGUUUCGUGGUACUGUGCCAUAAUCCUAUUGGGCCUUAUAUUGUUGGCGUCUAUUAGGGAGAAUUCUUCAACGGCUGAGCCUGUUAAAGGGAACCAGCUUCUGGACCGACCUUGUGAUGAAAUAUACGUCGUUGGAGAAGGGGAAACCCUGCACACCAUCAGCGACAAGUGCGGUGACCCGUUUAUCGUUGAGCAGAACCCACAUAUCCAUGACCCGGAUGAUGUUUUCCCCGGACUUGUCAUCAAGAUCACUCCUUCCAAGCCAAGGAAGUUGCUGAGGUAGUUUAUAGAACAGAACUGAAUAAUAGUACUGCCUGCUUCUUUCAUGUACAUAUACAUCGGAUACCAAAGAUAAAAACUUUUACCAUAGUUUGAUUCGACAUGUUUUUCCUUGACAUGGAUAUGGCGUUUUUUGUUUCUUUCUGGGAUGUAUUUAGGCUCUUUGAGAGAAGUUGAGGUCUUUUAGCUUGUAAUUUCUUAAGUUCUUCUGGGAUACAUAAUAGUUGAGACCUUUUCAUCUACCGGUUUGUAAAGAUGGAGAAUAAAUAUCCCCGAGAGAAUCUCGACUCUUUUUUCAGUUCCUUUUCUUUUCCUUCUUUUGGGCUUUUGCCUUUACAUGUGUUGAAGGAUGUAUUUAUGUGGUGUUUAUGCUAUAGUUUGUACAUGAUUUUGGGUCUGUUAUCGGAAAAAAAAAAGGUCUCAAAGUCUAAAAGGAUGAUAGAAUUCCUGUUUGAUGAAGCUUGUCUUGUUCCUGAGCGUUAAUUCUGUUUUGGUUAUAAGCUUUUGGAAUCAUCAAGUGAAAGUUAAUUAAGCUUGUAGUUGCUUCUUGUAGUUUUUUAAUUUGAUCUUUAGGAAUCUGAAACAAGAAGAAA